GAGAACCACUAUGUUAAUCUAAUCAUUAGUCAUUAGUCAAAUCUUCUGUUUUUACAGGGGUUCCAGUGCUUGUGACAUGGCAGCAACAGUUCUCAGGUUGCGCGACUAUGAAGGCGAGGCCCGGCAUUCAGCGGUCGGACUCACAAAAGCCUGCAGGCAAGCGGAUAAAGGCUAUGUCUAAUGAGAGAGGAUUCUUCCACUACACUAGCUACCAACCACAGAGGAAAGAAAAAGCUAUUAUGGAUCUUUAAAAGAGUGGAAACUCUGGAUAGGUGUGCAGACACAGGGCUCAAAAGGAGUGAGGCACCUCCCUCUGUGACAGACCUUUGGUUCCUUCUCUGGGAACAAUAGAAGAACAAGCUUAAUCCUUGCCAGCUCAUAAUGAGCUAUAAGCUUUCCUUUCACAGCAAAAAUGUCCUUCCUUGCUUUGGUGCUAAUCAGGGACAAAUGCCCUGGUCCUUUUCAGAUCUCGCAAACUUCAUUCCUUUGCUGCCGCUCUCUUCUCUUGUCCUGCGUUUUUCAAGUGUCCUAGGUUGAAGAUGAGAUGGUGUUGAGAUCCGUGAGAACGUUUUGGGUCAACGUAUAGAAGCUUUGCGUUCAAGAGUCUGCGUUCGCAACUCAUCUUUCCAGUUGCAGAAAAACCAAGAGUUUGCUUCUUCCUGCAGUUGGGACAAUGAAGCAGGAACAUGAGGUUGGAGUUAUUCAUCAAUGUGAAAACAGCCAGGCUUUUUUGGUUGUAGUGCUUGGAGGAUUCAGCAGUUAAAUGCCUCUGCAGGCUGCAGCCGAGCAGAAAAACAGCCUAGGAAAAACAACAAAGAGCUCAAACCCCAUUCACACCGUGAAAGGACGAGCAUCAAGACCGCCGAUGAGGCAUGUAGCACACACAGGCUUUCUUCUUUCCCUGCACCGCACAAGAAGCGAGAGAGGUGUACGAGGAACCUAUUAAAGCAAAAUGACACGUAAUCGGCUUAU
rnacentral:lncRNA from 1 species